rnacentral:rRNA from 1 species
UACGUAGGUGGCAAGCGUUGUCCGGAUUUACUGGGCGUAAAGAGCGCGCAGGCGGUCGUUCAAGUCGCGUGUGAAAGCCCCCGGCUCAACUGGGGAGGGUCACGCGAUACUGAUCGACUCGAAGGCAGGAGAGGGUAGUGGAAUUCCCGGUGUAGUGGUGAAAUGCGUAGAUAUGGGGAGGAACACCGGUGGCGAAGGCGGCCAUCUGGACGGAUACUGACGCUGAGACGCGAAAGCGUGGGGAGCAAACAGG